UACGUAGGAGGCAAGCGUUGUCCGGAAUUACUGGGUGUAAAGCGCGUGUAGGCGGCAGGCCAAGUCUGUGGUGAAAUCGCUCGGCUCAACUGGGCGGGGUCCAUGGAAACUGGUCAGCUGGAGGACGGUAGAGGUGAGUGGAAUUCCCGGUGUAGUGGUGAAAUGCGUAGAGAUCGGGAGGAACGCCAGUGGCGAAAGCGAACUUUCUGGUCCUUAACUGACGCUGAGCGCGAAAGCAUGGGGAGCGAACGGG
rnacentral:rRNA from 1 species